CCAUAACGGACGACUCGCCAAACAUACCGACAUCGUCUCUGAUGGCUUAUCUUCAAGAAAUGUUGCACGUUUCUGUACGUGUUUGAAUCGUCUGUAGGUUCGUUUGAAGUGUGGCCUUAUUGUCACAAAGAGUUAAGAAUCAUGCGAUAGCAUUCGUCACAUUCCGACAGGAAUCAAACGCCUCGCGAGAUUAACGAAAGAUGUAGGACAUGGUUUCGGACACGUUUAGGAUGGAUCACUCAAGCCCACAGAUAUGCCGCUAUUGUGGCAACGUUCUUAAAGCAAGUCGUCUCUGCGCCAGCAUGAGAUGAGUCACAGAGGGACUAGGAAGAUUUAUACCUGUUGCGAAAAAUUGUACUUCAGCAAGGCGAAUCUGAACAGGCACAGAUGCAAUAAUUUUAUGUCAUGUACAUGGCGAAGACAAGGCAUUCGUGUGUACCAAGUGCACUAAGCCAUUUCCUACAAAUGCUGACAUGCAGAAGCACAUGCGGCGGGAAAAUGGGCACAGCGUGUGAUAUAUGUGGCGUACGUUUUGCUGAUAAAGCCUAUUUAAAGGCAUACAUAGAUAUGCACAACUAUCUUUUUUCUAAUUCGAAUAUCUACGUCUAACACCUUAUCAUUGUGUGUGAUAAAUGUGUAGUAGGAACACAAUUUUGGCAUCAACAUUGUUUUUCACCUGCUUGAAAGGAGUCAUUUAGGGGGUAUUUUUCAUCUUCAUCUACGAGUUGUUUGCUGUUUUUCUAGUGCCAUAGUAUUUGUUAUAAAUUGGUGCGUGUG